rnacentral:rRNA from 1 species
GACAGAGGUGCCAAGCGUUAGGCGGAAUCACUGGGCUUAAAGCGUGUGUAGGCGGGUCGUUAAGUACCUUGUGAAAUCCCACGGCUCAACCGUGGAACGGCUGGGUAUACUGGCGAUCUUGAGCCACCUAGGGGCAGUCGGAACAAGUGGUGGAGCGGUGAAAUGCGUAGAUAUCAGGAGGAACACCGGUGGCGAAGGCGGAUCUCUGGGCCAUUACUGACGCUGAGGAGCGAAAGCGUGGGGAGCGAACAGG